rnacentral:rRNA from 1 species
UGGGGAAUAUUGCACAAUGGGCGCAAGCCUGAUGCAGCCAUGCCGCGUGUAUGAAGAAGGCCUUCGGGUUGUAAAGUACUUUCAGCGGGGACGAAGGGAGUAAAGUUAAUACCUUUGCUCAUUGACGUUACCCGCAGAAGAAGCACCGGCUAACUCCGUGCCAGCAGCCGCGGUAAUACGGAGGGUGCAAGCGUUAAUCGGAAUUACUGGGCGUAAAGCGCACGCAGGCGGUUUGUUAAGUCAGAUGUGAAAUCCCCGGGCUCAACCUGGGAACUGCAUCUGAUACUGGCAAGCUUGAGUCUCGUAGAGGGGGGUAGAAUUCCAGGUGUAGCGGUGAAAUGCGUAGAGAUCUGGAGGAAUACCGGUGGCGAAGGCGGCCCCCUGGACGAAGACUGACGCUCAGGUGCGAAAGCGUGGGGAGCAAACAGG